UAAUCAGCAGGGAGCUGGUAAGUCUAGACUGGACAACUGAGAUCUCGUGUCAGCACAAAACUCCCAUAAGAAGAAAGAUUGAAGAGGGGAGAAAAACACACAAGAUGCCAAAGGAGCGGAGCAUUAUCGCCAACUUAAAUGGGAGUGGGAAUGUGUUCUUGGCUAACAAAUGGACAAGCCAGGUUUCCCUUUGUGGUGCUAGUGGAAAUGCCCCACUGAUGGAGGAACAGACGCUUUUCCUUAUUCAGAAAGGGAUGCUGGGAAAAAUGGCCCUGGAUUUCCUUGCACAUGGCUGAUGUGAAUUGUCUGUCUGGCUUUCUCAGGAAAUGGCUUUUAUCCCUGUUAUGAUUGUCUUUAUAUGAGAUCUGCCAGGAGCUUCGCUCAACUAAAACAUCCCCUUGAGUUGAAAGAAAACACACCUACCAAACACUUACAAAGAAGAUGCCUUCUGGCUUCUGUGUUUAAAGGACUUCUUGAUUUGUUGUAUGCAGCUCUGAAAGCUUACCUGACAGCUUGCCACAAGUGGAGGCUACUUCAAGAGUCAUUUGUUGCAAGUUCGUGUUGUCUGUUCUUUUCUACACAUUUACUUUUAUCUGAGAGUCUCAAAACACUUUGAAAACCUCAGUUGCGCCAUGGGAAUCACUAGAGACUAUCUUCUUGGGUGAUGCGUUCUCACUUCCUCCUCAUCCUUUCUCUUGGUGUAGAUUUCUGCUCAUGUUGGGAAAGCCUCCAAAAGGCCCAGCCGCAGAGCAGAUUUUCUCCUAGUGCGUUGUGCUUCCAUUCUGGGUCCUGCGAACACACAUCUGAACAUUGCUGAAACUCAUUAAAAGGAGCAGUUUGAGUUCAGCUAUAAAACUGGUCAAAGGUCUAAAAAGGUUCAUAUUUUAUUUGAACUGAUUCACCUAUCUGUAGUUUCUGACUCUCAAA